GGGCGGCUUUGUUGUGUCCGGGGGUUUCUUCCUGAGGGAUACAGCCAGUCUAGAAUGUCCCUAUAGACAUUUUCUGGGACUUCCAUGCCUUGGUUCCAGAGAUCUUCCCUGCUGGUAGCGUCCAUUCCCACGAUGAAAAGACCCGAGUCACCUUUGCUGAUUUCUUGGAAGCACCGGCUGACCGCUUGAUGAUGCCAAUCAAUACACAUUCUAUUAAUC
rnacentral:lncRNA from 1 species